GACGAACGCUGGCGGCGUGCCUAAUACAUGCAAGUAGAACGCUGAAGGAGGAGCUUGCUUCUCUGGAUGAGUUGCGAACGGGUGAGUAACGCGUAGGUAACCUGCCUGGUAGCGGGGGAUAACUAUUGGAAACGAUAGCUAAUACCGCAUAACAGUAGAUGUUGCAUGACAUUUGCUUAAAAGGUGCAAUUGCAUCACUACCAGAUGGACCUGCGUUGUAUUAGCUAGUUGGUGAGGUAACGGCUCACCAAGGCGACGAUACAUAGCCGACCUGAGAGGGUGAUCGGCCACACUGGGACUGAGACACGGCCCAGACUCCUACGGGAGGCAGCAGUAGGGAAUCUUCGGCAAUGGACGGAAGUCUGACCGAGCAACGCCGCGUGAGUGAGGAAGGUUUUCGGAUCGUAAAGCUCUGUUGUAAGAGAAGAACGAGUGUGAGAGUGGAAAGUUCACACUGUGACGGUAUCUACCAGAAA
rnacentral:rRNA from 1 species